CAGUAGCCGCGGGAAUACAGAGGGUGCGAGCGUUAAUCGGAAUUACUGGGCGUAAAGCGUGCGCAGGCGGUUAUAUAAGACAGAUGUGAAAUCCCCGGGCUCAACCUGGGAACUGCAUUUGUGACUGUAUAGCUAGAGUACGGCAGAGGGGGAUGGAAUUCCGCGUGUAGCAGUGAAAUGCGUAGAUAUGCGGAGGAACACCGAUGGCGAAGGCAAUCCCCUGGGCCUGUACUGACGCUCAUGCACGAAAGCGUGGGGAGCAAACAGGAUUAGAGACCCGCGUAGUCCCUGUCUCUUAUAC
rnacentral:rRNA from 1 species